GUAUCUAGAAUUAUAU
rnacentral:rRNA from 1 species